GAGCCGGGGACCUUCGGAGCCGGAAGUAGUCCUGCCUGGAACUGGACGACCCCGGAAGCUGCAGUGCCGGCGGCGGCGCGGCAGGGGGCGCGGUUGCCUGUGGUUUUUCGCGUUGGACGCCGGCUCUGAGGGCCUUGUUCUUGUCGCUAAUUUAGUUGGUUCCAGAGCGGCAGGACUCGUAGCUAGAGAACGAGGAGCCACGAUGCGUACGCGUUACAGUCCUGUUUCCCUAGAAACGGAGCCGCCGGCGCAGAGGUGGCUUUGAGAUUCUGCGAAAGACCUGACUGCUCUCGAACACUUACUGUGUUGCACCCUCCCUGGGCGCCCAAUCCAAACCCCGUCGGAAUAACCACCCGGGACAGCGGUGGUCGAAGUAACUACGCCUAACUUUUCGCUUUCCAUCGUGUCCCCCCAUAAAAACACUGCUGGACCCCGGGAAUCCAAAGUCGAAGGAGGCACACUCCCUGCCUUAGAGAAUUUUAUAGGGGCAGUGCAUAACGUACAUGAUGGUGUAUGGCGAUUCGGAUAGUAGUACAAGUCAUAAACUCAAAUUCCUAUAGGAUCCAGGCAGGAUUUUUAACUCCUUGCAAGGCAAGUGUACUGGUGACAAAUUCCCUCAAAUUUUGUUUGCCUGAGAAAGUCUUUCUCCCUCACUAUUGAAAGAUAAUUUCACUGGAUACAGAAUUCUAGCUACUUAUCUGUGAGAUGCCAGAUUUUCUUCAUAUACUUGAACCAAAACAACAUAUUUGCAACAUAUUGAAUGCAGAAGCAGAUAUGAGAAUGCAGCUGUAUUUCAUUAAGCCAGAUAUUAAAGAGAUUUGCAAAUGUGAAAGUGAUGCUCUUUUCAUGAAAUUUGUUUAAUUUAGAAAACAUUUAUUUUUAAAUAAAACCUAUGGUGUUCAUAAUA